rnacentral:rRNA from 1 species
GGAAGUAAAAGUCGUAACAAGGUCUCCGUUGGUGAACCAGCGGAGGGAUCAUUACCGAGUUUACAACUCCCAAACCCAAUGUGAACCAUACCAAACUGUUGCCUCGGCGGGGUCACGCCCCGGGUGCGUCGCAGCCCCGGAACCAGGCGCCCGCCGGAGGGACCAACCAAACUCUUUCUGUAGUCCCCUCGCGGACGUUAUUUCUUACAGCUCUGAGCAAAAAUUCAAAAUGAAUCAAAACUUUCAACAACGGAUCUCUUGGUUCUGGCAUCGAUGAAGAACGCAGCGAAAUGCGAUAAGUAAUGUGAAUUGCAGAAUUCAGUGAAUCAUCGAAUCUUUGAACGCACAUUGCGCCCGCCAGUAUUCUGGCGGGCAUGCCUGUCCGAGCGUCAUUUCAACCCUCGAACCCCUCCGGGGGUCCGGCGUUGGGGAUCGGGAACCCCUAAGACGGGAUCCCGGCCCCGAAAUACAGUGGCGGUCUCGCCGCAGCCUCUCAUGCGCAGUAGUUUGCACAACUCGCACCGGGAGCGCGGCGCGUCCACGUCCGUAAAACACCCAACUUCUGAAAUGUUGACCUCGGAUCAGGUAGGAAUACCCGCUGAACUUAAGCAUAUCAAUAAGCGGAGGA